rnacentral:rRNA from 1 species
GGGAGGCAGCAGUAGGGAAUCUUCCGCAAUGGACGAAAGUCUGACGGAGCAACGCCGCGUGAGUGAUGAAGGUUUUCGGAUCGUAAAGCUCUGUUGUUAGGGAAGAACAAGUACCGUUCGAAUAGGGCGGUACCUUGACGGUACCUAACCAGAAAGCCACGGCUAACUACGUGCCAGCAGCCGCGGUAAUACGUAGGUGGCAAGCGUUGUCCGGAAUUAUUGGGCGUAAAGGGCUCGCAGGCGGUUUCUUAAGUCUGAUGUGAAAGCCCCCGGCUCAACCGGGGAGGGUCAUUGGAAACUGGGGAACUUGAGUGCAGAAGAGGAGAGUGGAAUUCCACGUGUAGCGGUGAAAUGCGUAGAGAUGUGGAGGAACACCAGUGGCGAAGGCGACUCUCUGGUCUGUAACUGACGCUGAGGAGCGAAAGCGUGGGGAGCGAACAGGAUUAGAUACCCUGGUAGUCCACGCCGUAAACGAUGAGUGCUAAGUGUUAGGGGGUUUCCGCCCCUUAGUGCUGCAGCUAACGCAUUAAGCACUCCGCCUGGGGAGUACGGUCGCAAGACUGAAACUCAAAGGAAUUGACGGGGGCCCGCACAAGCGGUGGAGCAUGUGGUUUAAUUUGAAGCAACGCGAAGAACCUUACCAGGUCUUGACAUCCUUUGACAAUCCUAGAGAUAGGACGUCCCCUUCGGGGGCAGAGUGACAGGUGGUGCAUGGUUGUCGUCAGCUCGUGUCGUGAGAUGUUGGGUUAAGUCCCGCAACGAGCGCAACCCUUGAUUUUAGUUGCCAGCAUUCAGUUGGGCACUUUAAGGUGACUGCCGGUGACAAACCGGAGGAAGGUGGGGAUGACGUCAAAUCAUCAUGCCCCUUAUGACCUGGGCUACACACGUGCUACAAUGGACAGAACAAAGGGCAGGGAAACCGCGAGGUUAAGCCAAUCCCACAAAUCUGUUUUCAGUUCGGAUCGCAGUCUGCAAAUCGACUGCGUGAAGCUGGAAUCGCUAGU